UCCUACGGGAGGCAGCAGUGGGGAAUAUUGCACAAUGGGCGCAAGCCUGAUGCAGCAACGCCGCGUGAGGGACGAAGGCCUUCGGGUUGUAAACCUCUUUUAGUAGGGAAGAAGCGACUGGGUUUUCCUGGGAGUGACGGUACCUGCAGAAAAAGCACCGGCUAACUACGUGCCAGCAGCCGCGGUAAUACGUAGGGUGCAAGCGUUGUCCGGAAUUAUUGGGCGUAAAGAGCUCGUAGGCGGUUUGUCGCGUCUGCUGUGAAAACCCGAGGCUCAACCUCGGGCCUGCAGUGGGUACGGGCAGACUAGAGUGCGGUAGGGGAGAUUGGAAUUCCUGGUGUAGCGGUGGAAUGCGCAGAUAUCAGGAGGAACACCAAUGGCGAAGGCAGAUCUCUGGGCCGUAACUGACGCUGAGGAGCGAAAGCAUGGGGAGCGAACAGGAUUAGAUACCCUGGUAGUCCAUGCCGUAAACGUUGGGAACUAGAUGUGGGGACCAUUCCACGGUCUCCGUGUCGCAGCUAACGCAUUAAGUUCCCCGCCUGGGGAGUACGGCCGCAAGGCUAAAACUCAAAGGAAUUGACGGGGGCCCGCACAAGCGGCGGAGCAUGCGGAUUAAUUCGAUGCAACGCGAAGAACCUUACCAAGGCUUGACAUAUACCGGAAACGGCUGGAAACAGUCGCCCCGCAAGGUCGGUAUACAGGUGGUGCAUGGUUGUCGUCAGCUCGUGUCGUGAGAUGUUGGGUUAAGUCCCGCAACGAGCGCAACCCUCGUCCUAUGUUGCCAGCACGUAAUGGUGGGAACUCAUGGGAUACUGCCGGGGUCAACUCGGAGGAAGGUGGGGAUGACGUCAAAUUAUCAUGCCCCUUAUGUCUUGGGCUUCACGCAUGCUACAAUGGCCGGUACAAAGGGCUGCGAUACCGCAAGGUGGAGCGAAUCCCAAAAAGCCGGUCUCAGUUCGGAUUGAGGUCUGCAACUCGACCUCAUGAAGUCGGAGUCGCUAGUAAUCGCAGAUCAGCAACGUUGCGGUGAAUACGUUCCCGGGCCUUGUACACACCGC
rnacentral:rRNA from 1 species